rnacentral:rRNA from 1 species
GAUGAACGCUGGCGGCGUGCCUAAUACAUGCAAGUCGAGCGAACAGACGAGGAGCUUGCUCCUCUGACUUUAGCGGCGGACGGGUGAGUAACACGUGGAUAACCUACCUAUAAGACUGGGAUCACUUCGGGAAACCGGAGCUAAUACCGGAUAAUAUAUUUAACCGCAUGGUUCAAUAUUGAAAGACGGUUUUGCUGUCACUUAUAGAUGGAUCCGCGCCGCAUUAGCUAGUUGGUAAGGUAACGGCUUACCAAGGCAACGAUGCGUAGCCGACCUGAGAGGGUGAUCGGCCACACUGGAACUGAGACACGGUCCAGACUCCUACGGGAGGCAGCAGUAGGGAAUCUUCCGCAAAGGGCGAAAGCCUGACGGAGCAACGCCGCGUGAGUGAUGAAGGUCUUCGGAUCGUAAAACUCUGUUAGUAGGGAAGAACAAAUGUGUAAGUAACUAUGCACGUAUUGACGGUACCUAAUCAGAAAGCCACGGCUAACUACGUG